rnacentral:rRNA from 1 species
UACGGAAGGCAGCAGUGGGGAAUAUUGCACAAUGGGCGCAAGCCUGAUGCAGCCAUGCCGCGUGUAUGAAGAAGGCCUUCGGGUUGUAAAGUACUUUCAGUCGUGAGGAAGGUGUUAAGGUUAAUAACCUUAGCAAUUGACGUUAGCGACAGAAGAAGCACCGGCUAACUCCGUGCCAGCAGCCGCGGUAAUACGGAGGGUGCGAGCGUUAAUCGGAAUUACUGGGCGUAAAGGGCACGCAGGCGGUUAAUUAAGUUGGAUGUGAAAUCCCCGGGCUUAACCUGGGAAUGGCAUUCAAGACUGGUUAGCUAGAGUCUUGUAGAGGGGGUAGAAUUCCAUGUGUAGCGGUGAAAUGCGUAGAGAUGUGGAGGAAUACCGGUGGCGAAGGCGGCCCCUGGCAAAGGACUGACGCUCAUGUGCGAAAGCGUGGGGAGCGAAACAGGAUUAGAUACC